GACGAACGCUGGCGGCGUGCUUAACACAUGCAAGUCGAACGGAAAGGCCCUGCUUUUGUGGGGUGCUCGAGUGGCGAACGGGUGAGUAACACGUGAGUAACCUGCCCUUGACUUUGGGAUAACUUCAGGAAACUGGGGCUAAUACCGGAUAGGAGCUCCUGCUGCAUGGUGGGGGUUGGAAAGUUUCGGCGGUUGGGGAUGGACUCGCGGCUUAUCAGCUUGUUGGUGGGGUAGUGGCUUACCAAGGCUUUGACGGGUAGCCGGCCUGAGAGGGUGACCGGCCACAUUGGGACUGAGAUAGGGCCCAGACUCCUACGGGGGGCAGCAGUGGGGAAUAUUGCACAAUGGGCGGAAGCCUGAUGCAGCAACGCCGCGUGCGGGAUGACGGCCUUCGGGUUGUAAACCGCUUUCGCCUGUGACGAAGCGUGAGUGACGGUAAUGGGUAAAGAAGCACCGGCUAACUACGUG
rnacentral:rRNA from 1 species